rnacentral:rRNA from 1 species
CACGUAGGGCGCAAGCGUUGUCCGGAAUUAUUGGGCGUAAAGAGCUCGUAGGCGGUCUGUCACGUCGAAAGUGAAAACUCAGGGCUUAACCCUGAGCCUGCUUCCGAUACGGGCAGACUAGAGGUAUGCAGGGGAGAACGGAAUUCCUGGUGUAGCGGUGAAAUGCGCAGAUAUCAGGAGGAACACCGGUGGCGAAGGCGGUUCUCUGGGCAUUACCUGACGCUGAGGAGCGAAAGUGUGGGGAGCGAACAGG